rnacentral:rRNA from 1 species
ACGCCUAACACAUGCAAGUCGAACGUGUUUGAGAGCUUGCUCUAAACAUAGUGGCGUACGGGUGAGUAACACGUGAGCAACCUGCCUCUGAGAGAGGGAUAGCUUCUGGAAACGGAUGGUAAUACCUCAUAACAUAGCUGGACCGCAUGAUCCGGUUAUCAAAGAUUUAUCACUCAGAGAUGGGCUCGCGUCUGAUUAGCUAGUUGGUGAGGUAACGGCCCACCAAGGCGACGAUCAGUAGCCGGACUGAGAGGUUGAACGGCCACAUUGGGACUGAGACACGGCCCAGACUCCUACGGGAGGCAGCAGUGAGGGAUAUUGCACAAUGGAGGAAACUCUGAUGCAGCGAUGCCGCGUGGAGGAAGAAGGUUUUCGGAUUGUAAACUCCUGUUUCGAGGGACGAUAAUGACGGUACCUCGGGAGGAAGCUCCGGCUAACUACGUGCCAGCAGCAGC